GCCGGUUUAGCUCAGCUGGUAGAGCAACUGAUUUGUAAUCAGUGGGUCGGGGGUUCGAGUCCCUCAACCGGCA
rnacentral:tRNA from 1 species